CCUACGGGAGGCAGCAGUGGGGAAUAUUGGACAAUGGGCGGAAGCCUGAUCCAGCCAUGCCGCGUGUGUGAAGAAGGCCUUUUGGUUGUAAAGCACUUUAAGCGAGGAGGAGGCUACUAGUACUAAUACUACUGGAUAGUGGACGUUACUCGCAGAAUAAGCACCGGCUAACUCUGUGCCAGCAGCCGCGGUAAUACAGAGGGUGCGAGCGUUAAUCGGAUUUACUGGGCGUAAAGCGUGCGUAGGCGGCUUUUUAAGUCGGAUGUGAAAUCCCCGAGCUUAACUUGGGAAUUGCAUUCGAUACUGGGAAGCUAGAGUAUGGGAGAGGAUGGUAGAAUUCCAGGUGUAGCGGUGAAAUGCGUAGAGAUCUGGAGGAAUACCGAUGGCGAAGGCAGCCAUCUGGCCUAAUACUGACGCUGAGGUACGAAAGCAUGGGGAGCAAACAGGAUUAGAUACCCUGGUAGUCCAUGCCGUAAACGAUGUCUACUAGCCGUUGGGGCCUUUGAGGCUUUAGUGGCGCAGCUAACGCGAUAAGUAGACCGCCUGGGGAGUACGGUCGCAAGACUAAAACUCAAAUGAAUUGACGG
rnacentral:rRNA from 1 species